AACUAGCCUUUCCUAAUGGUGCCACGGAUUGAUACCGAUACGUUCUAUUUGGACAGGCAGGGAUGGAGAUUUAUGAUCUAGCAAUCAACGCGAUCCAUAGAAUAUGGUUAGCAUGGUCAGGUUCAGUCUUGUACAGAGUUUCAUUGUAUAUGAUAUUUUUGUACAAGACUCACCCUUCUUUCCAACAAAAAAAGAAAAUGCAGUACAAUUUAUUAACUUGCCAUGAAAACUACUAAUGGGGUCUUAAGAGUUCUAUUAACCAUUUGUAAGAACAGGAACAUGCAUUUGAGGAUAGAAAGCUAUCUUCACUUGUUUUCUUGAGUCUAAUUAGACUAGUUCCCGAGUCGAUCUCAGGUAUUGAAUAAAAAGCAAUGCUUAUUUGUCAAGGAAAGAAGGGUAUGGACAGUUUUUCUUAUAUUUUGUUAGAAAUUAGACUUUCUAACUUAGCAAUUAUCAGAUAAUCAUGUAAUGAAGUUUCCACCAUUUACCGAAUUGAACUUUGUUCUUGUUUGGGAAUCUGCAGUUCAGAGAUGUUACAUACAAGGUGAUCAUCAAAGGAAUGACCUCAACCGAGGAAAAGGAUAUCUUGAAUGGGAUCAGUGGUUCGGUGGAUCCAGGGGAAGUUUUGGCUCUUAUGGGACCUUCAGGAAGUGGAAAAACAACACUUCUGAAUCUGCUUGGCGGCAGGUUAAAUCAGCCCACUGUCGGUGGUUCAAUCACUUACAAUGACGGACCAUACUCCAAGUUCUUAAAAAGUAGGUAAGAAACUUAGAUAUCAGUGCAAGACUGGUUCGGUACUUACAGCGCUGAAUUGACUUGUUACUUGCCAAUUUAUUUUUCAUCGCGAUGACCAAAAAUCAAUGAAAAGACGCAAGAACCUGAAUUUAGCUAAGUCAGAACUUUUGUUGCAUGUACGACUAGAAAUUUGAAUCAUUGCAAAUGCACAUCAAAAUGACAUAAAAAAACAUAUGGCAGGAUAGGAUUCGUGACACAAGACGACAUUCUGUUUCCUCACCUUACAGUGAAAGAAACAUUGACAUAUGCAGCCCUCCUUCGAUUGCCAAAGACAUUGACAAAACAACAGAAGCAAAAACGAGCCAUGGACGUCAUCUAUGAGCUAGGCUUAGAGAGGUAAUGAAUUCUCAUUUCCCUGCCAUCAUCAAUCAAGGCAAAUUUGUAAUCAAUUCAAGUCAAGAAUGUUAAUAAUAGAAAUAAAUUCUGCAGCGUCUGAUUGAUCUUGCUCAUUCUUGAAAGCUAAUGUUGAUGUGCCUAGGUGCCAAGACACCGUGAUUGGUGGCUCAUUUGUGCGUGGAGUGUCAGGUGGGGAGAGGAAAAGAGUUUGCAUUGGCAAUGAGAUUAUAAUCAACCCUUCAAUCUUGUUUCUUGAUGAACCAACCUCGGGCUUGGAUUCUACAACUGCUUUAAAGACAGUGCAGCUGUUACAAGAUAUGGCAGAGGUAUUCUAUUUGUGAUGCUUCUUAUUCAAGUUUUUGGCCCUUUCAUCAGGAGAUAGUGUUGCAUUUUUCUGCUACCAACUUGUUUCCAUUUAAUGGCAGGGUGGGAAAACAGUGGUGACAACUAUCCACCAGCCAUCUAGUAGACUCUUCCACAAAUUUGACAAGUUGAUUCUUCUUGGGAAAGGGAGUUUGCUUUAUUUUGGAAAAUCAUCAGAAGCAAUGCUGUACUUCUCAUCUAUAGGUUGCAACCCGCUUAUUGCCAUGAACCCUGCAGAGUUCUUGCUAGACCUUGCAAAUGGCAAUAUAAAUGAUGUUUCUGUCCCAUCUGAAUUGGACGAUAAAGUGCAAAUAGUGAAUUCAGAUGCAGGAAAAAGAAACGGGAAGCCUUCUCCUGCAGUUGUUCAUGAGGUAAUGAAGUAUACACAGACAGACUUUUGCGUUCUUAACAUCAAAAGCUGCUAUUUAACUAGAUAAUGUUUCUGUCGAAAACAGUACCUCGUGGAGGCCUAUGAGACACGAGUUGCGGUCAAAGAGAAGAAGAAACUAAUGGUUCCUAUACCCCUUGAUGAAGAAGUGAAGGCAAAAGUGUCUUCUCUGAAACGACAAUGGGGGGCAAGCUGGUGGCAACAAUAUACCAUUUUGUUCUGCAGGGGAAUCAAAGAAAGGCGGCACGACUAUUUUAGCUGGUUGAGAAUCACCCAAGUUCUCUCUACUGCAAUUAUCUUGGGAUUACUAUGGUGGAAUUCAGAUACUAAUAGCCUCAAAGGUCUUCAAGAUCAGGUAAAUAAUGGUCCGGCCAAGAUCAACCCUUGGGCCUUCUCUUUUCCAUUUCAGGCUCAAAGUUUACUGAAGCACUUCUCUGAAAACCUAUCCGAAACCAUUGAAAAUCAACUGAAUUACAAAAAAUCAGUCUGGCUCAUAAUCACAAAAGCACAUUUUUUGUUUCCUGAAGCUCCUUUACACAAACAACAUAAUUUCACUUAGUAAACUUAAACCUUCUUGGAUUACAGGCAGGGCUGCUGUUCUUCAUUGCGGUUUUCUGGGGAUUUUUUCCUGUAUUCACAGCAAUCUUCACAUUUCCCCAAGAAAGAGCCAUGUUGAGUAAAGAACGGGCAGCUGACAUGUACAGACUAAGUGCAUAUUUCUUGGCAAGGACUACAAGCGACCUUCCACUUGAUCUAGUACUACCAGUACUUUUCCUUCUCGUCGUCUACUUCAUGGCAGGCUUGCGAAUGAGUGCUGCUCCAUUUUUCCUAACCAUGCUCACGGUUUUUCUCAGCAUUAUUGCUGCUCAGGUGAGACUAGUUUGCAAUACUAACGAAGAAGGGUGUCAAAGAAAAACAAUUUAAAAUGUAAGUAUUUAAUCAAGCAUGUCUCCAUGGCAGGGACUCGGACUAGCUAUUGGGGCUACCCUGAUGGACUUAAAGAGGGCCACAACUCUAGCUUCAGUUACUGUGAUGACCUUCAUGCUGGCUGGAGGGUAUUUUGUAAAGGUAAGUUCAUCAAAGAUCAUUUCAUACAUCUCUCUCUAUUGCUCCUCUCCAAUGCAAUAUUUGAGUGAAUUUUUUCACAACAUUUGAAUUUUAGAUUCGCACCACAUGACACAUAUUGCUGACAUUGAUUGACCGAUAGAAAAGGACUACUCAAUAACGUCUACAAUCAAUAUUGAAGUUUCAGAGCAUGUCAUCUAGAGUGGAGUUCAUUACUUCACUAAUUGAUAACUCUCUCCCAGAAUUAGUAUUGAUUCAACUUUUUCUCACCUAAACGCAAAGAAUGGUCACAAAUGGUCUUCGAUUUUGCAGAGAGUUCCAGUAUUUGUAUCUUGGAUCCGCUAUCUGUCUUUCAACUACCACACCUAUAAGCUUCUCCUCAAGGUUCAAUAUAAACACAUGACACCAGUUUUAAAUGGAAUGAGAAUAGACAGUGGCUUGACGGAAGUUAGUGCCCUGGUGGCAAUGGUUUUUGGCUACCGUCUCUUGGCUUAUAUUUCCUUGCGGAGAAUGAAGCUUUGUGCGCAGUAAGCAAUAUUAUUCAGUGCGCAUUAUCGACAGUUAACUUCCACGUUUGACUUCAAAGAUCUAUUCCAAGAAAACUUGGGUUCCACGGAUCAGAGAAAGGGAUAUAAGCAAGUUAUCAUAUUUCAGCUCCAUGAAGAUUUUUGGAUGGAAAAAGCCUCAACGACGAUAUUUAUGCAGUAUCUUAGGCAUGUAAGUUGAUUUUUCCGCGAGGAGAAUUCCUAGAAAUGCAAUCACGUUAUAAGAAGCUCGCACUCACAAGCUCGUAUCUUUUAUAUUAAAAUGGAGUGAUGUAAUAAUAAUUGUCAGACAUACCUACCUAUGACUAAUGCAUAUCUAUUGGAAUUAGCGACUUCUAAAAGUUGGGGGAAUGAAAAACAUGGUAUCGCAUAUGAUUUGAUGGAACUUUAUUUACGUUUUCCUUGGAAAGAAAAUUUCCAAGAGCAACCGCUUAAAUACAUAGAAACCACCAGUGAUUGCUAACCAAACACCAAAUUGAGAGGGAAAAAAGGUUGUCGCACCCGAUAUCGCGGCGGCCUUAAAAAUAUAUAUUUGGGAAGAACGGAUUUUUGGCAUCCUGUUCUUUAAUAGGGAAUGAUCUUAUUUAAGGAGUCGUCACCUAGUAUUAUGGUCACUAGGAACUCUAACUGGUCAGCAGAGAUUCUAUGGUACGAGAUUGGUUAUGCAAAAAGGAAAGAUAUUAUCACCCCUUAAACGUCCUGCCCGAGGCAGGCUGCAUUGCUAAUUUUGUCAUAAAUUGCUAAUGUUUUGUUGGUUUAUGCUAUGAUGGUUUGCAUGUGAUAUUCCUGGCUUUGACGCCAGUGAAUAUUCAAAUACGGAUACUUCCAACUCUGGCGUUGGUAAAUAUUACGUAGUUAUAAAACAAAAUAAAUUUAAAUCCAUAUUUUUAUAUUCCUGACUCUGGCGUCAGUCAAUAAACAAAUAAAAUAAAUUUAUUUUUACGCAUGCACAAUUUUUUUAUUUUUCCAGCUAAAUAAAAUAAAAUACAAUGAAAGAAUAAUAUAAAUUUAAACCGGUAUUUUUAUUCCUGACUCUGGCGUCAGUGAAUAAACCAAUAAAUUUAUAUUGUUUUUAUUCAUGCAUACACAUUUUUUAUUUUUUUAAUAAUUUUUUUUGGGCUGGGCCCAGCUCAGCCCAUGUGGCUGGGCUGGACCCAGCCAGCCCGGCCAGGUCACUGGCCCAAGCCAGUGACCCGGCUGGGCAAAAACUAAAAGCACGCGUGAAUUGGUCACGCGUGCGCGAACACUGGUGAAGGUAAUUAAAUUACCUUCACACAGUGUUCUUGUAACAUUAACAAUUACAUUUUGAAAUGAAGAUACAAAGGGGAUGAAGUCAUACCUGCUUCUGGAGAUCGAAGAUGUUUGCAGCGCUGAUGAUGAUUCUCGCCUACUGUUUCCCCUUGUCUUCCUUUUGUGAUCACUUGUCUGUGCUUUCCUUCUUGCUUUCUCAGCAGCUUUUAAAACUACGAAGAUGAUGUCGGUCUGCUGUGAGUGUUCUUUGAAUGAAUACGGGUCUUUCCUUUGUUUGCAGGGACGAAGACAAUUUCAAGGAUAAUUCUCGUCACUGUGUGUGCUGCCCUCUUGUUCUCUCCUUCUCUCUGUAUAUUUUUUUUGCUCUGGUUUUUACUCUGUUCUUUGCUCUGGUUUCUGGGUUGAUUUUUCGGGUCCCUGCUUACGUUUUCUCCCCUUUUUUCUUCUCUGUUUUUCCUUUUUUUUUUCCUCUGAGAUCUGUAUUUAUAGUGUCAGAGUCUUUUCGCGUGUGAGAAACCAAGUUUCAAUCAAACUCAUUCUUUUCUUUGAAGUUUGAAUUUAAUUAAAA
rnacentral:lncRNA from 1 species